CGGCAUUCCAGAUGUUGUGGAUUACAUCUCCCCUGAUGCCUUGCCAGCACUAUGGGAGAUGAAGUUAUAAACAUCUGGAAUGCCG